UUAAGGUGACUGCAGCAGAGCCAAUAGCUCUGACAGUAACUGAAGAACAGAUGCAGAUCCCUGACCAGAGAAAGGUCCCAGACCCCUGCACGUGGAAGGUCACAGGUCCUGCUUUCAGUCAGAUCCAUUGCAGUGUGAUUUCCAUGACUCAAAAAGAAAAACAACCAAGCACUGCUAUAUCCAGCUGGUGUAAAUACAGUGCAGUUGAUCUAGUGUAACCAAACAGCUCAAGAUCCAACAACUGAUAACAAGGAGAAUUGCUGUGGGAGCAUUUCAGAGUAACAUAGAUGUCAGAGGCUGAUGUUGAGCCUGGAACCAGCCCAACUGCAAGGAAUGGGACCCUCAGAGGCUGUCCUUGCCUAUCUCACCUGUGCAGCAAUGUGAUUGCUUGGAGCGGAUUAUUUAAGAACUAACUCUAUGUGAUCAAACAUAUGGCAGAAAUCACUCAUGCCUUGACUGUGUUUUACAUGCACCUGAAGUGGUCAGAAGAAACUCAUUCAGCUGUGGCUGUCUCAGCAAUAAGGAAGAAUAGUUAUAUGAGGGCUGCUCUGGUAUACAUGAACCUAAUGCACUUCUUGAGGUCUACUGCUGGAAGUUUUCUUCUUUUGAGUACCUAAAAAACAAUUAGCCAGUACACUUUUAGUAAAAUAUUGGCUCUUUGAAAGGGAAUAUGUGUGUGCUUGCAUCUUUGUAAUUCAGCAACGAGUGGAUUCAUUAUGAUCAUUAGAUUCCUGUGGUGGUGUUAUAUCAGGUUUGCUUCCUGAAAAUGUACAUGUUGACAUAGCAUCGUUUUGCAAAAAGUGGAAGAAAAUACAUGAAAGUGCAAGUUCUGGAAGCUUCUAUAUAAAGAUUUUCAUUUACAUAUAUGACAGCAGUUCCUGUUAUGGGCUAGAAAUAAUGCUAAGAAAGGUAAGUGUGGCUACAAGAUUUAUAUGGGUAAAUUUUCUACCAAGUAGAAUGGAUAGAGAAAUGGUAUAUAUGUAAUAAAUUAGUUUGCAAAGUCUGAGACUGUCCCUGCUAACUUGCCUAGCCUAAACUGAUAAUUUUGACUCCCUGCACGGCCUGUGGAAAAAGCUUCCUGGGUAGUUUCAGUCCACGUAUUGUAGGCAUCAGAGCAGAGAAUUCAUUGUUCUCUGGAGCUAUUACUCUGCACACUGGCUAUGAAUUGAGCCUACAUGUCUAAUUGCUGAGGUUAGUGAAAAGUAGACUCCCCGAAGACAUGUUAGAUUAGCUAGUGGCUCUUACUGAUGCAGAAACCCAGUCUUACCCUGUUGCCACCCAUUCCUUUGAGGUCAGAUCUAUCAUCCAGUCACACUUACAUUCCUUUUAUAUCUGUGUUACACCAAGCUUUUUCCAAAUACAGCAUUAGGCACUUAUUCUUUGGCCUCCCUUACAGCAAUAGUUUAGCUUUGUUUAAUAUGUUCUCCAGUAUUUAAUAAAUAUAUUUAGUUAAAAGAUCAGUUUCCCACUAGAGAAGUUUGUCACCUACUUAGAAGUAUUUUCUUUGAGUUUUGACACAGCGAACUGAAACAAAUGGCAAGUUCUUCAGCUGCAGCUUCUUCCAAGCAGCAGUAUUUCUGCUAAAUCUUAUGAAAAAGCCUAUGGAAAUUUACACAACAUAAUAAAAAUCCCAUUUAUUGUUUACUUACAUUGAUCAAUUACCAUUUGUACCAUAAACAUCACAUCAGUGUACAGGCACCAAUGAAACAAUUAAUACAUUUUAAAAAAAUAAAUAAGAUCUGGUAGUAGAUUCUGGGAAGCUUUUAAAAUUAUUUGGCUUUUGUUAUGGCUUUUAUUGCUUUCAUAGACAUUUCCAAAUCUGGGGAAGUUGAUUUAACUUAUGGAAUUACUUUAUGUAUAUCCAUAAAACUAUUUUGAAAUUUGAAUCAAUAUGUUUUAUUAUAUUUCAUUCUCAUCAAUGUCAGCCUCCCUAAAAUCACUGCGCUUGUAUUUUCUAGUACACAUUGUGUCUCCCUGACAAUAAUUCUAAUACUAUUUGUACAAGAUGUUCUGUAGAUGUAGCCUUAUGGUGCUAAUCAUGCUUGGCUCACUCCCUUGAACUGGAUCCAGAAUAACCUCAUUUUGCAUUAGGGUUAUCCUCUCUGAAGAGUCCUUACAUCCGUUAUAGAGAUUUGGAAUCUGAAGGAAUGAGAUCUUGUCAAGG